CGACCCCAGGUCAGGCGGGGUUACCUGCUGAAUUUAAGCA
rnacentral:rRNA from 2 species